AUACGGAGGGUGCAAGCGUUAAUCGGAAUUACUGGGCGUAAAGAGUACGUAGGCGGCCUACUAAGUCAGAUGUGAAAGCCCAGGGCUCAACCUUGGAACUGCAUUUGAAACUGGUAGGCUAGAGUAUGGUAGAGGGGGGUAGAAUUUCUGGUGUAGCGGUGAAAUGCGUAGAUAUCAGAAGGAAUACCAGUGGCGAAGGCGGCCCCCUGGCCCAAUGCUGACGCUGAGGUACGAAAGCGUGGGUAGCGAACGGGAUUAGAAACCCCGGUAGUCC
rnacentral:rRNA from 1 species